GUUGCAAAGUAACUUUUCUAAUUUUCAUUUAUGUUUUUCAUUAAAUAUUUAUAUUUUAUUUCACUUACUGAAAAUGAUUUUUUCAAAUGCUUUAGUUAAGAAUAACACUGCUUUAGUUAUUAUUAGUUAUGGUUAUAGUAACUUUCGUUAAAGUUAUCAUUCUUGGUUCAUCAUCAUCAACGGUUUACAUGUACAUCAUCCUCAUCCUCAUCAUCACGGAGCACUCACUGAAAGAAGCUGUGGAAGGUCUUGAGGAUGUGGUUGAGAACAUCAGGCUCCAGAGAGUUCUGGAAGAUCUUCAGAUAUCUGUAAGUGGAUUGUGGGUGACGGCUGAUCUUCCUGAGGUCGGCCUCCAGCUGGAAACUGCUGCUGGGUGGAGGAGGAAUCGAUUCAGCAUCUGCAGAUGAAUCUUCAGGGGCCCUGAAACACAAGACACUGGCAGACUCACUCCAGCAGCAGGAGAGCGUGACGAUCGGAUCACGUCAUCUGCUCACCUGGAUACAGGAGCGUCUGAGAUCUCCUCUAUCUUCUGGAUCUUGGGAUGCGGUGAAGACGUGGACGGUGAGAUCUCUGCACCCACCUCCUGGAUGUCAAGCCUCCUCAAGGGUUUCUGAGACGACACAAACACACACGACGUGUUGACAUCUAAAUUGACCUUCAUAUUUAGACUGCUCUCUCGUUCUGGACUCACAGUGGAUCUGAGGUGUUCAGGUUUGUGGAUGGGCUGGAUGCUUCUCUGUUUGUUCUCCUCUGGAGCCAGAAGACCGCUGCUCCUCACCUCCUGAUGAACACAUGCACAGGUGAACAGAUCGGACUAGAGCUGUGUGAUUCAUCCAAACCAAUAACAGUAAAUGAACAACAUGAACUCUAUCUGUUUCAGUCACUAAUUAUAACGUGCAACAAAAGAGUAGUAUAAUUUUAUUUAAUGCCAUGUCAUUAUUAUUAUUAUUUUUAUUUACUUUUAGUUUUGCAACAAAAGAGAAGGCUCCCUGUGAGUUUCAACCAAAAUAAAACCUUG
rnacentral:lncRNA from 1 species